AGCAGCCGCGGUAAUUCCAGCUCCAAUAGCGUAUAUUAAAGUUGUUGCAGUUAAAAAGCUCGUAGUUGAAUUUCGGGAUCAAGGAAUCGGUCAUGCCUUGGUAUGUACUGGUUUUAUUGGUUCUCACCUUCUAAAGAACCAUAAUGUCAUUCAUUUGAUGUUAUGGGGAAUUAGGACUGUUACCUUGAAAAAAUUAGAGUGUUUAAAGCAGGCUUACGCUUGAAUACAUUAGCAUGGAAUAAUGAAAUAGGACAUCAGAUUCUAUUUUGUUGGUUUCUAGGAUCGAUGUAAUGAUUAAUAGGGAUAGUUGGGGGCAUUAGUAUUCAAUUGUCAGAGGUGAAAUUCUUGGAUUUAUUGGAGACUAACUACUGCGAAAGCAUUUGCCAAGGAUGUUUUCAUUAAUCAAGAACGAAAGUUAGGGGAUCGAAGACGAUCAGAUACCGUCGUAGU
rnacentral:rRNA from 1 species